GGAAAACAAUCAUCAAUUAACCAAAUAACAGAAUAAAAACAACAUGAAAUAUAUUCUAUAUAUAUCAACAAAUCAAAUUAAUACACUAGAGUUCAAUACGACAGUAGAAUUAAGUAGAAACAACUAACUUAGUUGGGUGAUAAACUCUUGCAGAGUUUCAAUGUCCUUUAAAAAUAUUUUUCCUCUACUUCUAGUGCUUCUAUUUCGAUAGGAGAUUGCCCA
rnacentral:lncRNA from 1 species